CUUACUAUUCCAAACAGAGACACUCCGAGAUGUGCCACAGAAGUCAGAAAGUCAGUGAGGUAGAACAAAGGCUUCACAAACAUGUGGAAAGAAUUGAAGGCAAAAGAUGCAGAUGGCUCUAAUUCUUUUGCAUGAGUCCACGAGGUCAACAGAUUCUUGUGCUUCCUGCUGUUAAGAUUCUGUACAGACUCGUCCUACCCUCCCCCAGAUGAGAACUUCUAACUGAUGAAAUAAGCAGUAAACAGAUCAGAGCUGAUAAAAGAACCUUCUGAUGAUGAAGCGGGUUUUCAAGUACAUGUUCUAACCACAGGAAGAAAUGGUUUGGUCAUAUACCUUUUGAAUUUUAGUGUUUUUUGGAUAUAAUUUCUUAUUUUAAAAACAAUUUUAUCGUGGUAAAUAUACAUAUAGCCUAUUAUUUACAAUUUUAACCAUUUCCAAGUGUACAGUCCAGUGGCAUUAGUUAUAUUCACAAUUACUAUCACUACUAUCCAUUUCUAGAACUUUCUCAUCAUCUCAAACGGAAACUGUCUCCUUUAAAUACUAACUCCCCAUUUCUUCUCCUUUUAGCCCCUGACAAGGACUACUCUUUGCUUUUCUGAAUUUACCUAUUCUAGAUACCUAAAAUAAGUGGAAAAUGCAGUAC